GGCCCGGUGGUCAAGCGGUAAGACGUCGCUAGCAAUUGCUAAGCGGAAUCCCUGGUUCAACUCCGGGCCGGAUUA